rnacentral:tRNA from 1 species
GUUUUUGUAGUUGAAUUACAGCGGUAGCUUUUCAAGCUACAAGUCCAGGUUGGAGUCCUGGCAGAAAUA